UACGGAGGGUGCAAGCGUUAUUCGGAAUCACUGGGUGUAAAGGGUGCGUAGGCGGCUAGGUAAGUCAGAGGUGAAAGGCUGCGGCUUAACUGUGAGAGGGCCUUUGAUACUGUGUAGCUUGAAUCAGAUAGAGGUUAGUGGAAUGCGCCAUGUAGCGGUGAAAUGCAUAGAUAUGUCGUGGAACACCGAUUGCGAAGGCAGCUAACUGGGUCUGUUAUUGACGCUGAGGCACGAAAGCGUGGGGAGCGAACAGG
rnacentral:misc_RNA from 1 species